rnacentral:rRNA from 1 species
AGCGAACGCUGGCGGCAGGCCUAACACAUGCGAGUCGAACGAACCUUUCGGGGUUAGUGGCGGACGGGUGAGUAACACGUGGGAACGUGCCUUUAGGUUCGGAAUAACUCAGGGAAACUUGUGCUAAUACCGAAUGUGCCCUUCGGGGGAAAGAUUAAUCGCCUUUAGAGCGGCCCGCGUCUGAUUAGCUAGUUGGUUGAGGUAAUGGCUCACCAAGGCGACGAUCAGUAGCUGGUCUGAGAGGAUGAUCAGCCACAUUGGGACUGAGACACGGCCCAAACUCCUACGGGAGGCAGCAGUGGGGAAUCUUGCGCAAUGGGCGAAAGCCUGACGCAGCCAUGCCGCGUGAAUGAUGAAGGUCUUAGGAUUGUAAAAUUCUUUCACCGGGGACGAUAAUGACGGUACCCGGAGAAGAAGCCCCGGCUAACUUCG